GCUAAUAUUUUCGUUUAAUUCUCCUCUUGAUACUCCAGAUAUCUGAACCUGGGAAUCGUUUUGAAUAGAUUUCUAGUGCCAACAAGAAUUGAAGAUAAAUUUAGAUAGCCCGGCAGGUUUUCCAGUACGGCAAUAUUUUACUUAGUGUUGACAUUGAGCUAUUUUUGACGUUAAAUAAAUCUGACGCGUUGGGACGAAUAUA
rnacentral:lncRNA from 1 species